rnacentral:rRNA from 1 species
CCUACGGGGGGCUGCAGUGGGGAAUAUUGCACAAUGGGCGCAAGCCUGAUGCAGCCAUGCCGCGUGUGUGAAGAAGGCCUUCGGGUUGUAAAGCACUUUCAGCGGGGAGGAAGGCGGUGAGGUUAAUAACCUCAUCGAUUGACGUUACCCGCAGAAGAAGCACCGGCUAACUCCGUGCCAGCAGCCGCGGUAAUACGGAGGGUGCAAGCGUUAAUCGGAAUUACUGGGCGUAAAGCGCACGCAGGCGGUCUGUCAAGUCGGAUGUGAAAUCCCCGGGCUCAACCUGGGAACUGCAUUCGAAACUGGCAGGCUAGAGUCUUGUAGAGGGGGGUAGAAUUCCAGGUGUAGCGGUGAAAUGCGUAGAGAUCUGGAGGUAUACCGGUGGCGAAGGCGGCCCCCUGGACAAAGACUGACGCUCAGGUGCGAAAGCGUGGGGAGCAAACAGGAUUAGAUACCCCAGUAGUC